AUCAAAGCGACCCUGCUGCAGAGCUCUGUCUAAAUUGAAACCUCACUCUCGCCUUGGCUGGGUCUGACUAAUGAAGCCCUUGCCCCUCUUUUCAAUUUAUUGAAAGGGGGAGAGGACCCAGGUUCUCCUAGGGCUAUUACCCCAGAGGCACAGAAAGCUCUAGAAGAAGUUCUGAUGGCAGUGUCCACAAGACAGGCCAACCGAUGUCGGCCUGCCCUGCCAUUCAAAUUUAUCAUCUCAGAUCAGCUGCCACACCUCCAUGGAAUCAUUUUCCAGCGGGAGGAAAAACAAACACCUAAGGCAAAGGAAAGACCUAAAAAGGGCCAGGACCAGAGGGACUCUCUCUUGAUCAUAGAAUGGGUUUUCCUCAGUCACCAAGGGUCCAAGAGAAUGACAAUGCCCCAGGAGCUGGUAGCAGAACUGAUCCAGAAAGCAAGGACCUGGAUCAGGGAGCUAGCAGGAUGUGACUUUGAGUGCAUUCACAUUCCAACUGAGUUAAAAUCGGGCCAAAAUACUAAGAAAAUGUUGGAACAAUUGCUUCGAGAAAAUGAGAGGGAUGGUGAGUCAGUCCCAGGCCAGAGCUGUGAUCAGCAGGAGCCUGAAGGGCCCCAUCAGCUUCAGUGCCGCCCUACCCGCUCAGUGUGCCUCAAUUUGUGUGGCUGAGCCCAAAAACACCCGUUCCAAAAGGGCUCUGCUGUUUCAGGGGGAGCUCUGCCUGCUGCUGCUCAUCUCCCAGCGCUGCCUGGAGCGUGGGAUGCUGGGGAAGAGCAGAGGAUGCUGCACUGCAAAGCCGCUCCGAUGCUGCCGCCUGCAGCCGCGCCGCAGCAGCUCAGGGAGCUCCAUCCUGGGCUGCACACUCAGGGUCUGUCUGCACAUCCCUCCUGGAAACACCUCCAAGCUGCUACGUGAAGGAAUUCCAGAGCUACAAAACUUUCAGGGAGCACUGAACAAGCCUGAAAUCCCUGCUGGGACAGAACCCAGCUUUGGUCCAGCCUGCUUUGGUUCCAGUGGGAUGUUUUUGAUGGAGUGCAUCCUAGCAUGUGCUGCAAAUCCUGCUCACAGGAGGGCAGGGAAUUGAUGCUGCCUGCAUCACUUAGAAAAUGGCUCUGGACAUGAGCUGGAUGGAAUAAGUAUUGCAGAUUUUCUUAUUUUUGCAUAAUUGAUGAUUAUUGAUGAUAAAUGGCGAAUGGUUCUUUGCCAUUUUUCAGUGGUGUGGG
rnacentral:lncRNA from 1 species